UACAGAGACCUCAAGCAUUAUCCGGAUUUAUUGGGCGUAAAGGGUCCGCAGGUGGUCGUGCACGUCGGGGGUUAAAUGUACGAGCUCAACUCGUACACCGCUCUCGAUACGACAUGACUAGAGGCUGGGAGAGGUAAGCGGAAUUGCCGGUGUAGUAGUAAUAUGCGUUAAUAUCGGCAAGAACACCAAAUGCGAAGGCAGCUUACUGGAACAGUUCUGACACUCAGGGACGAAAGCGUGGGGAGCGAAAGGG
rnacentral:rRNA from 1 species